UGUAAGCGUAUACCAAAGUUGUUGCAGUUAAAACGCUCGUAGUCGGAAUUUGGCAGUUCCGGAAGUGUGCACGUCGUGUGCGCACUUUGCGGGGACUGCUUUUGUGGUCUUGCGUAGGAUGAGGCACUUUCAUUAGUGAACGUCCUCACGCAACCACUCUUUACUGUGAGAAAAUAAGAGUGCUCAAAGCAGGCAUUUGCCGUGAAUGUAUUAGCAUGGAAUAAUAGAAUAGGACUCGGUUCUAUUUUGUUGGUUUGUUGGGACUGAGUAAUGAUUAAGAGGGACAGUUGGGGGCAUUUGUAUUCCGGCGCUAGAGGUGAAAUUCUUAGAUUGCCGGAAGACAAACUGCUGCGAAAGCGUCUGCCAAGGAUGUUUUCAUUGA
rnacentral:rRNA from 1 species